rnacentral:misc_RNA from 1 species
AAGGAAGAGGAAGAGUUCAAGAUCUUGUCCGUGGAAACGUGUUCUCAACCUUCAGACAAUCACAAACCAUCGAGUUCUGAGGUCAAUGAGAAUGAGGAAGAAGAUAAAUUUCCUGAUACACCCACUUCUAUGGAUAGUCUCCACCAGCUACACAAGAAGUUGCUAUUACUAGACAGAAAAGAAUCUGGAACCGAAGAGUCUUUGGACGGAAGUGUAAUAAGUGAGACCGAAGGUGGGGAUGGCGUGUUGACUCUUGAGAAAUUGAAGUCGGCGUUGAGAACCGAAAGAAAGGCUUUGAAUGCUUUAUAUGCAGAGCUAGAAGAAGAGAGAAGUGCUUCAGCAAUAGCAGCCAACCAGACAAUGGCGAUGAUAAAUAGGCUUCAAGAGGAGAAAGCAAGUAUGCAAAUGGAGGCUUUGCAAUACCAGAGAAUGAUGGAGGAGCAAUCCGAGUAUGACCA